rnacentral:rRNA from 1 species
CCUGGCUCAGAACGAACGCUGGCGGCAGGCUUAACACAUGCAAGUCGAGCGAGACCUUCGGGUCUAGCGGCGGACGGGUGAGUAACGCGUGGGAACGUGCCCUUCUCUACGGAAUAGCCCCGGGAAACUGGGAGUAAUACCGUAUACGCCCUUUGGGGGAAAGAUUUAUCGGAGAAGGAUCGGCCCGCGUUGGAUUAGGUAGUUGGUGAGGUAACGGCUCACCAAGCCGACGAUCCAUAGCUGGUUUGAGAGGAUGAUCAGCCACACUGGGACUGAGACACGGCCCAGACUCCUACGGGAGGCAGCAGUGGGGAAUCUUAGACAAUGGGGGCAACCCUGAUCUAGCCAUGCCGCGUGAGUGAUGAAGGCCUUAGGGUUGUAAAGCUCUUUCAGCUGGGAAGAUAAUGAC